rnacentral:rRNA from 1 species
AUUGAACGCUGGCGGCAGGCAUAACAUAUGCAAGUCGAGCGAGCGGCGGACGGGUGAGUAAUGUCUGGGAAACUGCCUGAUGGAGGGGGAUAACUACUGGAAACGGUAGCUAAUACCGCAUACCAUCUAAUUUGCCCAGAUGGGAUUAGCUAGUAGGUGGGGUAUUGGCUCACCUAGGCGAGGAUCCCUAGCUGGUCUGAGAGGAUGACCAGCCACACUGGAACUGAGACACGGUCCAGACUCCGACGGGAGGCACCAGUGGGGAAUAUUGCACAAUGGGCGCAAGCCUGAUGCAGCCAUGCCGCGUGUGUGAAGAAGGCCUUCGGGUUGUAAAGCACUUUCAGCGGGGAGGCGUUACCCGCAGAAGAAGCACCGGCUAACUCCGUGCCAGCAGCCGCGGUAAUUC